AUCAAUAUUUUGUGUAUUUAAAGUGGAGAAUAUAUAUUUUGUGUAUUUAAAAUGGAGAGCUCCAUAAAUAUUUAUUAAGUUUACUUGUUCCGGAUCUGAGUUCAAGUCCUGGUUGUCCUCAUCAAUUUUCUGUCUCGUUGAGUCUAAAUCUCUUUAUAGGUCUUAUGUAUCUGGGUGUUAGGAUCGUUAGCUCUUAUUGUUGCAUUGAUCCUUUUACCACUAUAUCUUUGUUGCUUUGAAAUCUAUUUCAAAUGGAUCUUAUAGAACACAUAUAUAGAACAUGAAAUGCAACUUCAAAACCCAUUUGUUUUCAAGUAUACAAUGAACAUUUACCAAAAUAGACCAUUUUCUGGACCAAUAAGGCAACUCUCAAUACAUUUCAAAUAACAGAAGUCAUACAAACCACACUCUGACGGCAGUGCAAUUAAAACAGGAGUUCACUGUCAGGAAGAUAAUCGGAAAAAUUUCCAAAUGUUUGUAAAUCUAACAAAUAUUUCUACAUAACUGAUAUGUCAAAAAGAAAUCAUGAUGGAAACUGGAUGAUAUAUUGAAAUGAACAAUAAUGAAAAUAUUACAUAUCAAAAUUUAUUGAGUGUAGGUAAAGCAAUACUUAGAGGAAGAUUAAAAACUUUAAAUUAAUAUACUAGAAAAGAGAAAAAAGUCAAUUAUUUUAGUGAGGGAUUAGCCACUUUUUUCUGUAACUGUCCAGAUAGUAAAUAUUUAGUCUCUGCAGGCCACGUGGUCUCUUGCAGUUACUCAAUUCUGCCCUUGCAGCAUGAAGUAGCCGUAGACAAUACAUAAAAGUGUAUCCAUUAAAUUUGAUUUACAGAAACAGAUGGCAUGUCAGAUUUGGUCCUCAGGCUGGAGUUUGCCAACCUAUGACCUAAACUUCAAACCCAGGUAACUAAACAGGAAAAUAGAAAGGAGGAUGAAAAUAGUAAAGAUAGGAUUAGACUAAUGAAACAGGCCAGGUGAGGUGACUCACACUUGUAAUCCCAGAAAUUUGGGAAGCUGAGGCAGGAAGAUCACUUCAGGCCAGGAGUUCGAGACCAGCUUGGUCAACAACGUGAAAACCUGCCUCUACUAAAAAUACAAAAAUUAGCUAGGCAUGGUGGUGCAUGCCUGUAGUCCCAGCAACUUGGGAGGCUGAGGCACAAGAAUCUCCCUUAUCAUUUCUCAUUGUGUUUAUUUGAGUCUUCUCUCUUUUCUUCUUUAUUAGUCUUGCUAGUGGUCUAUGCAUUUUAUUGAUUUUUUUUUUCUCGAAAAAUCAGCUCCUGGAUUUCUUGAUUUUUUGAAGGGAUUUUCAAGUCUAUCUAUCUCCUUCAGUUUCACUAUGAGCUUGGUUAUUUUUCAUCUUCUGCUGGCUCUGGGGUUUGUUUGCUCUUGGUUUUCUAGUUCUUUUAGCUGUGAUGUUAGGGUGUCAAUUUGAGCUCUUUCUAGCUUUUUGAUGUGGGCAAUUAGUUCUAUAAAUAUAUCUCAUAACACUGCUUUUGCUGCACCCCCAAGAUUCUGGUACAUUGUCUCUUUCUUCCCAUUGGCUUUAAAUAACUUUCUGAUUUCUGCCUUAAUUUCAUUAUAUACCCGGGGGUGUUCAGGACCAGGUAUUCAAUUUCCAUGUAGUUGUGUGGUUUUGAGUGGGCUUCUUAAUCUUGAAUUCUAAUUUGAUUGCACUGUGGCCUGAAAGACUUAUUAUUUCAGUUCUUUUCCAUUUGAUGAGGAGUGUUUUACUUCCAAUUAUGUGAUGAAUUUUAGAUUAAGUGCCAUGUGACACCAAAAAAAUGUAUAUUCUGUUGUUUUGGGGUAGAGGGUUCUGUAAAUAUCCAUCAGGUGGUCCACUUGGUCUGAAGCUGAGUUCAAGCAUUGAAUAUAUUUGUUAAUUUUCUGUCUUGAUCUGUCUAAUAUCGACAGUGAGGCAUUAAAGUUUCCCACUAUUAUUGUGUGGGGAUCUAAGUCUCCUUGUAGAUCUUUAAGAACUUGUUUUAUGAAUCUGGGUGUUCCCGUAUGGGUGCAUAUAUAUAUGAUAGUUAACUCUUCCUGUUGAAUAGAUCCCUUUAUCAUUAUUUAAUGCCCUUCUUUCUCUUUUUUGACCUUUGUUGGUUUAAAGUUUAUUUUAUCAGAAACAAGAAUUGCAACCCCUGCUUUUUUCUGCUUUCUACUUGCUUGGUAAAUUUUCCUCCAUCCCUUAAUUUUGAGUUUAUGUGCAUCUUUGCACAUGAAAUGUGUCUCUUAAAUACAUCAUACCUAUGCGUCUUGUUUUUAUCCAGCUUGUCAUUCUGUGCCUUUUAAUUGGUGCAUUUAGCUCAUUUACAUUUAAGUUUAAUAUUGUUAUGUGUGAAUAUGAAACUGUCAUCAUGAUACUGGCUGGUUAAUUUUGCAGACUUGUUAAUGUAGUUGCUUCAUAUUGUCACAGUCUGUGUACUUGAGUGUGUUUUUGUAGUACCUGGUAAUAGAUUUUCCUAUCCAUGUUUAGUGCUUCCUUCAUGAGCUCUUGCAAGGCAGGCCUAGUGGUGAUGAAAUCCCUCAGCAUUUUCUUGUCUGAAAAGAUUUUAUUUCUCCUUUGCUUAUGAAGCUUAGUUUGGCCAGAUAUGAAAUUCUGGGUUGGCAUUUAUUUUAUUUAAGAAUGUUUAAUAUUGGCCCCCCAAUUUCAUCUGGCUUGUAGGGUUUCUGUUGAGAGAUCUGCUUGUUAGUCUGACGGGCUUCCUUUUAUAGGUGACCUGGCCUUUCUCUCUGACUGACCUUAACAUUUUUUUCCUUCAUUUAGAUAUUGGAGAACCUGAUGAUUAUGUGCCUUGGGGUAGAUUUUUUGAUGGAGUAUCAUUGGGGCUCUCUGGAUUUCCUGAAUUUGAAUACCAGCCUCUCUUGCUAGGUUGGGGAAGUUCUGGUUGAUCUCCUGAGGUGUGAUUUCCAUCUUGGUUAAAUUCUCCCCAACUCUUUCAGGUCUGCUGCGGUUUGCUUGGGGUCCACUUCAGACCCUGUUCACCCGGGUAUCAACAGUGGAGGCUACAGAACAGCAAAGAUUGCUACCUGCUCCUUUCUCCAGAAGCUUCUUCCCAGAGUGGCACCCACCUGAUGUCAACCAGAACUCUCCUGCAUGAGACCCCUGACGGGAGGUCUCACCCAGUCAGGAAUCUCGGGAUCUGGGACCUGCUUAGGCAGGCAGUCUGACUGUCUCUUAGCAGAGCUGGUGCUCUGUACUGGGGGAAAAGCCCUGAUAGCCUGAUAGCCCUCAUUGGGAUGAGCUGCUCUCUUCAGAGCCGGCAGGCGAGAAAGAUUAAGUCAGCUGAACCUGAGACCAUGGCUGCCCCUCCCCUCAGGUGCCCUGUCUUAGGGAGAUGAGAGUUCUGUCUGUAAGGCCCUGACUGGAGCUGCUGGAAUUCCUGCAAGGAUGCCCUGCCCGGUGAGAAGGGGUGGCUUUGGGUCCCACUGAGGAAGCAGUCUCUCCAUGAUCUGCAACAGCCACUUUGCUGUGCUGUGCGGAAUUCCACCCAGUCCAAACCUUCUAGUCUCCUUAGCACUGUCAAGGGAAAACUUCCAACUAAAGCCUCGCUAAUGGUGGUCGCCCCUCCCCCUGGGAACUCAGUUGUCCCAGGCCGACUCCAGACUGCUGUGCUGGCAGCGGGGAUUUCAAGCCAGCCGGUCUUAGCUUGCAGGGCUCCGUGGGAGUGGGACCCUCUGAGUUAGACUGCUUGGCACCCUGGCUACAGUUCCCUUUCCACAGGAGUGGACGUUUCUCCGGCCUCCCUGGAGUUCCAGGUGCUGCUGGAGUAAGUAAAAACUGCCGCUCAGCGCCUGCCCAAAUGGCUGCAGACAGGUGCGGCUGCACAGUACCUGGCAACCUUAAAUUCUCAAAUUAUAAUAGCUUGGUGGGCUUGGACAAGAGCUGCAAGAAGUGUCUGGAUGAACAGGCAGAGAAUCUUGUCCUCUUUUCUCACUUUCUUCCAAACAGACAGUCUCUUUCUCUCUGUUGAGCUGUCUAAAGCUGGGGGAGGGGCGACACAACUAUCCCUCUGGCCGCCACUCCUGGGACUGCACUGAGUCAAAUCUGAAGCCAGCACAUCACUGUGAUGCUGGGACCUUCACAUGCAGCUUAGAGUUUGUGGUCCAUUCUUAGUUUCCAAAUGUUCCACGUGCUCUGUGUUGAUGUGUCUCAUCUUUCCAUCUAGAUUGUCCCAGCAUCACCAAACAUCCCACACGCUGGUCAUGUCACCUUUGACACUUGCUUAAUUACUCUGAAUCUCUCUUUCCUUGAAAUAAAGAGAAGAGCAACCAUCCCUCUCACUUUCCCAAACUGUUGUAAGAAAUAAAGUGAAUAGUAGAACUGUGGUAUUUUAGCAUUGAAAGAAAACUCAGUGAUAUCCAAUCACUCCAUUUCCAGGUGAUGAAACAGGAUUCUGAGAAGUUCACGGAGUUCCUUUUCCCAGGUACAGAGCUAGCAAUGAUAACUAAAGCUAUCUUAAACUUACCGUAGCUAUACUUAGGUAGUGAUUCACUUAUGGAGCAAUUUUACAUAACUAAUUUAAUGAUUGUUCAUUCACAAAUAAGCCCCUGCUCCAUGCCUGGCCUGUGCUAGGCAGGGGGAUGAAGAUCAACAACAAGCUCCACCCUCUGGGAGCUGUGGCAUCUCAAGGGGGAGUGGCAAGAGGCCCUAAUUCAAGAGUGAAAGACAGCAUUGCUGGGGAGCACACAGCAGCGGCUGGGGCCAGGGAAGGUCUCAGACAGAUGAGGUCAAUGAGAGCCCUGGGCUACAGACAGCAGACUUUUAGGUGAGACGACAACCAAAUUCAAAUGGUACCUGUGGUUUUCAACCCCAAUAUUGGGCUGUCUCUGCAUCGAUAUCAUGCAAACUAAGCACAGAGGGAUCGGGGGAGGAUUCCUGGUGUUCCCCAGGCUGAGAGGGCUCAGAUCUUGGAAUGACUCUGGGAAGGGAGGUAGCUCAGGGCAGUGGUUGGGACACAGAUGGGCCAGACUGCCUAGGCCCAUGUCCUGGCUGACUCCUUUCUAGCUGCGUGGCAUGGACAAUCAUGACAACCUUGCUGUGUCUCGUUGUCUCAUCCACAAAUGGGUAGAACAGGGCAACUACGAGCACUGAAUGGGCCGAAACUUCCAAAGGCUUAAACCAUGGCCUGGUAUGUAGCCAGUGCAGCAAGAGUAUUGGAUGAUGAACCUUGUGCCCCCCAUUGGUGAAACAGGAAUGGUUAUUUCAUGCCAGAGUUGACAUCGACUUUUUAAGGAAGAAAGUGGAAUCUAAGUGGAGGAUCAGAGAAAGCACUGGGUUUGGAUGGAGGCUGAGGAAGGGAGAGGGCAGCUGUGUCAGGAGGAGUGGAGACAUGGGAAGUUCAGAGCUGGCCUGAAGUCCUGAUGGGAGAGCCGUGGGUUGGGCUGCACACUGCCAUCUGCCUCUGGCUGGGGGGACCAGAGACCCUGGCACACUUCACACUGGAGGUUCUUUCCUGUUGGGCUUGAUGUGCUAUUCAGAUGCAGCAGGAGCUGCCCAGGAACGUCCAGCUCAUUUCAUCACAGUCAGCUCUGGGGGAGAGGUCUGCCACAGAAUGUCCAUGGAGACUUGUCUUCAGCUGGGUUUUUGGUUUUAGAUUUGUUUUCUAACUUACUUUAACUUCCAGAUGAAAAGUGGUAUUUUGCCAGAUGGGGGCAGGCUAGGCUUUGUGUCCAAGGCCCACCAGGUUGUGGCCAGCUCUGAGGGAAGAGUGUACUCAAUCCUGGCCUGGCUGUCACAUGGAGCAGCCUGCAGUGUUUCCAGGCUGCUUAAGGCCAGAUGGCAGGCUGAGCUGGCUGCCCUGGGGUUGGGGUUCCCAAUUUCCCAGUGAAGGAAGCAGAGCUCCACUUCGCUGAACUCACACAGCGUCUGGCGCCAGGCCCCUGACUCAGAGACCAAUGAGGGAGGUUGAAGAGGAGUCUGGACCUGUCCUAAAGAAAGAGGGCAGCUGAUCCCGUGAGGGGAGCAGGAUUACGGCUGAAGAUCCUGGAGAAUCAACUGCUGCUGAGGGGGUGUUCGCAUCCACCUGUGGUGUGCUUACUAAAGGUGAUCUUGUGAAAUGUACUUUAUUUAUUCAUUUAUUAUUUUUUAAAUUUAAGUUCCGGUGUACAUGUGCUGAUCAUGCAGGAAGUUACAUAGGUAUACACGUGCCAUGGGGGUUUGCUGCAUCCAUCUCCUGGUCCUCUACAUUAGGUAUUUCUCCUCCCCAAUCUCCCCACCCACUGCUAUCCCUCCCUUAGCCCCCCACGCCUUUACAGGCCCUGAUGUGUGAUAUUCCCCUCCCUGUAUCCAUGUGUUCUCAUUGUUCAACCCCACUUAUGAGUGAGAAUAUGCAGUGUUUGGUUUUCUGUUCUUGUGUCAGUUUGCUGAGAAUGAUGAUUUCCAACUUUAUCCAUGAAUUUUGGAUUUUCACAUAAAAAAUAUAAUAACUGUUUUUUCUUUUUUCUUUCUAUUUUUUUUGAGAUGAAGUCUCACUCUGUUGCCCAGGGUGGAGUGCAGUGGUGCAAUCUUGGCUCACUGCAACCUCCAUUUCUUGGGUUCAAGUGAUUCUUCUGCCUCAGCCACCUGAGUAACCAGGAUCACAGGUGUGCACCACCAUGCCUUGCUAAAUUUUUUUAUAUUUUUAAUACAGACAGGUUUCACCAUGUUGGUCAGGCUGGUCUCGAAGUCCUGAUCCCAUGAUCUGCCUGCCUCGGCCUCCCAAAGUCCUGGGAUUAAAGGCAUGAGCCACUGUGCCUGGCCAACAACAUCUUUAAAAGUCGAAAGAUAGAAGAAUUUGAAAAUAAACCUCAACUGUAUUCUUUCCUCCUACCAGCUGCAGUUAGCCCAUCAUUAACAGAGUUAGCAGUAAGGAAGGCCAUGUUUUAGUGAUCUCUGAGACAGCUGAAGCCCGGGUUUCCUGGAGAUGUCACCACCUAUGAGCAUAGUAGGGAUAAAUAGACUCAGCAAACAGAGGAGGCGAUGUGCCUGUUAAUCUGUUCACCUGCAUUCCACCAGGAAAUAAGCCAUCUACAAAAAUGUGGCAUGAGAGGAACAACAAAUGCCAUGACAAGCACCAAAAUGACAGCCAGGCCAGAAGGAGGUCAUCUCCUCCCUCAGCACUGCCCACAGCCUGGAAUUUGCCCAUGAUGCUCAGCCAGCUCCUGCUUGGGGAGGCCUCCUCUGAUGACCUGUGUGGGCAGCUCACCUGGGGCAUCUCAACCAGGAUUCCAUACAUUGUCAAGGCAAGGAAGAUCCCUGGGUCCUCCGCUGUGACACAAGUGUGGACCCAGCACACUUCGUAUGCGUGGACAAAUUUGUAAAGAUGGACAAGGCAAUAUUUGAAUUUUUAAGUUACUUGCAAAUAUAUUAAAUUUUAACUUUUCAUAGUUUUUCAUAACAUGAGAUAUAAAAAUUAGAAGCAUAAAAAUAAACUGGGAGGUGGGGAAGGUGCUCUCGGUGACAUCACGGGUAGGGCGACCACUAUGUAAAUGAGGCAGCACAGGGGCUGCUGAUUCGCCACCUGCUCCUUCCCCAUGAAAGAGUUCCCUGCUGUGGGAGUGAGUCCAGGACUGCUGGUCGGACUUGAGAGUCCCAGCUUUGUGUCAGAGCUAGGAGGGCUCCGGACUGGGGUGCAUAGGCCAAGUCACCGUGUGUGAAAGGGUGAGGUGUAUGAGGCUGUGUCAGGCAGAAGCAUGUGAAUUUGUGUUGGCUAGUGAGUGACAUACCAUGGUUUUGAUCCUGGGUUUAUCUGGAUGAAGGCUUAUCCCUUAAACUUUGGAUAUGCUGACUUCUGUGGUUUUCCCAAAGGUGGAAAACUUGACUGCAUUAGCUGUGGUGGCAGGUGACUGUGUCCCUGUUUUUGCUUGUCCUUUAGUGUGAAAACCAGAGGGCAAUGUAAAGGGUUGUUGUCGGUUUCUGUGGGUUGGUAGCUUGCAUGGUGUUGUAAGUCAUUGUUAUAGCUGCAAAUAUCGGGUAUAGAAAGUAAUCAUUUGUUACCAUUCUUGCUGUCGCCCUUGUGAGUUUCUUUAACAGAAGCCAAGUGCAUGCAGAGCUCUUCUCUUCCUUUUGUAAGUGAAGUUAAUUUCUGCAGUGAUUGCUUCAUGGUCUCCAGUCUCUCAGGUUCUCACGCUCUGUGAAAACCUUAUGUUUUCUCAUAUCCCCCAGAAUCACCCUUCACAUAGCCUCUGCUUCUAACUGCAGCCCUUAUGAGAGUGUAGGAUUUCUGUGCCAGCAGGGAAUGUGUUCUCACCUCAUAGAGCCAGGUAGAAACUGUACACAGAUGGCCACUUCUUUAGGAUGAAAACAAAGCCUUUGGGGCUCUUAGUGUUCCUGUUGGGUGGUGGAUGUAGCACACUUACUUUGUGGGGUUGUGGAUGUAACACAAAUUUGUUUAAAUUGGAAAAAAUUCAAAUUUGUGGAGGUGAACAGUUCUCCCAGCACCCAAGUGCCCUUGCGCAUAUUCGCAUGGAGACCCACAAGUCAGAACUGUAGUCUCACCUGGUGGCAGAAUGCACUGCCAUCUACCCCAACUACCCGAAUUACUCAGCAAUAAAAUGAGAAACAUUACAGAAACAUGAGAUAGCAUGAAUAAUCUCAAAAACAUGCUGAGUGAUGGAGAGUGCAUCCUGUGUGGCGCCAUCAAGGUGCAUUUCUAGAACAGGAGAAACUAACUUGUAUAGUGACAGAAACUACAUCCAUCAUUGAUUGCUGGGAUCAAGGAGUUGGUGGGGGACUGACUGCAAAGGGCACAAAAGGACCUUGGAGUAAUAGCUACAUUAUCAAACUUGAAAUGGAUGUAUUGUACCAUAUUCAACUCACACCUUAAUCAACUUGAUUGUAAAAAGUCAUAAGAAAACCCUCCAAAUCUUAAUGUCUUCUACUUAGAGUAUGUACAUUCCUUUAGAAAAGUGUGUAAAGGAAGGAGUUCAGGAAUUCCUUCACUUCUGUUUCUGUUUCUUUGUCUGCAGUUAAGUUCAUGCUCUAUGAAAUGGAAUAUUUGUAAAAUAAAAAUAAAAUCUGAGCUCAAUUUUAUAAAAACA